CCUACGUGAGGCAGCAGUGAGGAAUAUUGGUCAAUGGGCGCGAGCCUGAACCAGCCAAGUAGCGUGAAGGAUGACUGCCCUACGGGUUGUAAACUUCUUUUAUAAAGGAAUAAAGUGAGGCACGUGUGCCUUUUUGUAUGUACUUUAUGAAUAAGGAUCGGCUAACUCCGUGCCAGCAGCCGCGGUAAUACGGAGGAUCCGAGCGUUAUCCGGAUUUAUUGGGUUUAAAGGGAGCGUAGAUGGGUUGUUAAGUCAGUUGUGAAAGUUUGCGGCUCAACCGUAAAAUUGCAAUUGAUACUGGCAGUCUUGAGUACAGUUGAGGUAGGCGGAAUUCGUGGUGUAGCGGUGAAAUGCUUAGAUAUCACGAAGAACUCCGAUUGCGAAGGCAGCUUACUAAACUGCCACUGACAUUGAUGCUCGAAAGUGUGGGUAUCAAACAGGAUUAGAUACCCCAGUAGC
rnacentral:rRNA from 1 species